AAAAUUCGAAUUUAGCUCAUAUUUGUGAAAACAUGAAAAAAUUUUAUUUUGAAAAGAUUUAGAUCUAUAUAAUAAAAAUACACAUGGAUCUAAAUGUAAUUGAUUAUUCGAAUUGAUUUUUUUUAAAUAAAUUUAAUACACGCGCACACCGUAUAAUUUUAAAAUAUUAUAAAAUUAACACUUUAAAAUCGUAUAAUUUUAAAAUUUUUUCAAUUUUUUCCUCACUUUAAAAUUCUGAAUUGAAAAUUUUCUAUAUAUAUAACACAAACUUUUGGAUAAAAACACAUUACAUAUAACAGCAUAACAAUUAACACACCUGAGUAUCCAUUACCCAACAAUCAUCACCCACUUCAGCUGCACACCUAAAUCGGAAAAUCCUCACCCCAAAUCCCUCGUCGUCAGACGGCAGCAAAUCGUCGGUUCCUCCAACGCCAGUGCGAGCCCACGCCGUCGCUGAUCAGUCAUCACGUCGUCACGCUGUCGCUUGCCUAUGCCGUUCAGUCAUCACUUUAGUCUUCGCAAGGUCAAGCCGUCGUUCCUCAGUCCUGAAGAAACACCGUCGCUGCUCAGUCCCCUCCCGUUGUCGACUUGUCGCUGCUCAACCCCUUCGCGACGUCACUGCUCCACCAAGUUUGCUUAAUCCCAAUUGCUGGGGAUUUGUCAUUUAUGGGGUUGUUAGACUUGAUCGUUAGUAACAAUUAAUUUAGAUUUGUUUAGUAUUUGAUUUUUUUAAAAAAAAUUCUUUAACAAGUAAAAUGCUGUAAAUUUGUGAAUAAAUAUAUUAAAUUCCGGAUAUACAUGUUUUAGAAUAUCCUUCUAAAUUUAUACGAGUAUUAUCCGCAUUCUAAUUAAAUCUAUAUUUAUUUAUUUAUUUUGCGGAUGCAUAUACGAAUCCCAAAAGAACAAUCCAGAUCUAAAUCCAAAUUUUGUCAUCCGUUAACAAUACAAAUCAAAAAGAAAAAGCAA
rnacentral:lncRNA from 1 species